UACGAAGGGGGCUAGCGUUGUUCGGAAUUACUGGGCGUAAAGCGCGCGCAGGCGGCUAUCCAAGUCAGUGGUGAAAGCCCGGAGCUCAACUCCGGAAUUGCCAUUGAAACUGUUUAGCUUGAGUACGAGAGAGGUGAGUGGAAUUCCCAGUGUAGAGGUGAAAUUCGUAGAUAUUGGGAAGAACACCGGUGGCGAAGGCGGCUCACUGGCUCGUUACUGACGCUCAGGCGCGACAGCGUGGGGAUCAAACAGG
rnacentral:rRNA from 1 species